AGUCCUGGCUGUAAACGAUGCGGGCUAGGUGUCGGGCCAGCUACGAGAUGGCCCGGUGCCGGAGGGAAGCCGUUAAGCCCGCCGCCUGGGGAGUACGGCCGCAAGGCUGAAACUUAAAGGAAUUGGCGGGGGAGCACGACAACGGGUGGAGCCUGCGGUUUAAUUGGAUUCAACGCCGGGAAGCUUACCGGGGGAGACAGCUCGAUGAAGGUCGGGCUGAAGACCCUACCAGAGUAGCUGAGAGGUGGUGCAUGGCCGCCGUCAGUUCGUACUGUGAAGCAUCCUGUUAAGUCAGGCAACGAGCGAGACCCGCGCCCCCAGUUGCCAGCGGGUCCCUUCGGGGAUGCCGGGCACACUGGGGGGACUGCCGGCGCUAAGCCGGAGGAAGGUGCGGGCAACGGCAGGUCCGUAUGCCCCGAAUCCCCCGGGCUACACGCGGGCUACAAUGGCCGGGACAAUGGGUACCGACCCCGAAAGGGGGAGGUAAUCCCCUAAACCCGGCCCCACCUGGGAUCGAGGGCUGCAACUCGCCCUCGUGAACCUGGAAUCCGUAGUAAUCGCGCCUCAAAAUGGCGCGGUGAAUACGUCCCUGCUCCUUGCACACACCGCCCGUCACGCCACCCAAGUGGGCCAGGGGCGAGGCCCGCUCCUAAGGGGCGGGUCGAGCCCAGGGUCCGCGAGGGGGGCGAAGUCGUAACAAGGUAGCCGUAGGGGAACCUGCGGCUG
rnacentral:rRNA from 1 species